UGCAGCUGUGUCAAAUUCAGUGCCUGCCUCUUCCAUGACGGGGACUGGUCCAAACAGCUGCCACAGUGAUACCUGUAGCUCAUGGGCCUCAGAACUCUUUGUGGGCUCUGGGGAUAGUUUUGCUGCAGACACUG